rnacentral:rRNA from 1 species
UACGUAGGGGGCUAGCGUUGUCCGGAAUCAUUGGGCGUAAAGCGUGUGUAGGCGGCUUGGCAAGUUGGAUGUGAAAGCCCACGGCUCAACCGUGGAAGCGCACCCAAAACUGCUUCGCUCGAGUCUCGGAGAGGAAGGUGGAAUGCUUGGUGUAGAGGUGAAAUUCGUAGAUAUCAAGCAGAACACCUGCGGCGAAGGCGGCCUUCUGGACGAUGACUGACGCUGAGACACGAAAGCGUGGGGAGCAAACAGG